GACGAACGCUGGCGGCGCGCCUAACACAUGCAAGUCGAACGAGCGAGAGAGAGCUUGCUUUCUCGAGCGAGUGGCGAACGGGUGAGUAACGCGUGAGGAAUCUGCCUCAAAGAGGGGGACAACAGUUGGAAACGACUGCUAAUACCGCAUAAGCCCACGGCUCGGCAUCGAGCAGAGGGAAAAGGAGCAAUCCGCUUUGAGAUGGCCUCGCGUCCGAUUAGCUAGUUGGUGAGGUAACGGCCCACCAAGGCAACGAUCGGUAGCCGGACUGAGAGGUUGAACGGCCACAUUGGGACUGAGACACGGCCCAGACUCCUACGGGAGGCAGCAGUGGGGAAUAUUGCACAAUGGGGGAAACCCUGAUGCAGCGACGCCGCGUGGAGGAAGAAGGUCUUCGGAUUGUAAACUCCUGUUGUUGGGGAAGAUAAUGACGGUA
rnacentral:rRNA from 1 species